CACAGAUCCAAAUAAAGAUAGGAGAAAUAACUUCUUUCACUUUUGGAGAGAGAUUUGACUCACCUCUGAAGUACCCUGAAAUGGAUUCUUACUGAAAAAAAAAUGCAGGCUUGAUGGAAAGUAUAAGCUUUUAUAUAUAAUGAAAAUGGAAGUGGGUAUCACUGUACAUGUGAAACGGAAAUCUAUGAAAACCACAGAGCAUUUUAAGGGGUUAAAGGUAAAGGCAAAUGGACUUAUUAUGUAUCAGUUAAAUAAACAAGGGAUUCUUGGACAAGAAUGAGAGGGUUUCUAGUCAACUUUUCAGAGAUGUAUUUAAAAUAUGGCAUUAGGCACAUGUGGUGUUUUGUUUUUGUUUUUGUUUUCUGGUUCCAUUCUAAACUGAACACAUAAGAGCAGAGACCCAGACUUAGAAACUGGGAGUUUUAGAUGCCUCAUAAAAUUGAAAACAAACAAACAAACAGACAGCCCCCCCCCCUCCCCAGGCUUCCAGGAAGACUUGUGGACCUUGGGAAACUAAAGGUUUAACCUCAAUCAUGAUAUGUGGAUUUAUUUUUCCCAAUUUCAGAAAAGUAUUUACUGCUCCAGACAUAUUUACCAUGGGGCCCUGGAAAUGAUGUUGUUGGGAGUGAGAUGCUCCUGAUCCUCUUUCUUGACAGUAGGUAUUUUGGGGUGUGUGGUUAACAGAAAUUAAUUUGCAGGUUCUUGUGGCUUGGUUGUUGAUGUCGUCUGGGAAAGGAAUGGGACAGAAUUCAUGGUCCCCCAGGAUCUCACAUGAGCUUGUCUGUGGUUUGCAUGCUGUGAUGUCAGUAGGAAUAUGCUUUGCUGGAGCCCAUGUGUGCAGAGGCUUGGCAUCCAUGGUGAUGAUGGUAAAGGGCACAGCCUUGGCAAUGGCUAUCUCAGUUCUCAGUUGGCUAUCUCUAUCUCAGUUCCACCUUGGGCAACUUAUAUCCCUUUCUAAGCCUCAGUUUAUUCAUCUGAAAAAUAGGCACACUCAUGCUUAUUAGGGUUGUCGUGAGGAUAAACUGAGACAAAAAUGUAAAGUAAGUCUUAUCCUAGAAGAUAAUAAGUGCCCAAUAGAUCUGAGUGAUGGUGACUAUAAACUGUCAUGAGAUGCUGACCUGUGAUGAGGUCAGGUCAGACCUAGGUCUUUGGUGACAUAAUUUCCCUCAGUGGAAUAUCAUAUCCAAGAGUGUAAUUCAAUAUCCCACUGGCCAUUGAGAGGCCAGGGUUGUGGAAGUGGUAUUUGGGCCUUUAUUAGCCAAUCCCAUAGCUGUGGUGAAAGCCAAGGGUUUGCUUACUUCCAGCUUGAGGUUUCACUCAAUAGAGAGUAUAUAAAUAAUUUUUUUCUUUUUUUGAAAGUGUCAUUUUGAUACCUAAUGACUAGCUCUAUGAGAAGAAUAUCAAUUCAGAAGCUGUUGUGAAUGGCCAGCAGCCAAAUUUCAUAUAACUGCCUUCUAGUUUAUUCUACAUACUAUAGUCCAAAUUUUAUUUGGAGCCUCUCUUUUUCAAGAGCUCACAAUGAGCUUCUUGCCCAUUAAAUCAAGUCCAAACUCCAUAUCCUCACAGAAAAUAACUCUCUGUGAUGCACCUUAAGAUACUCCUUCAGCACUCUUGCUUGCUCAUUCUUUAUUAUACUGUGGACUCUGCAUCUUAUAAGGGAAGAUACAUGGUACUUGGGCGACCAGGUUCCAAUCUGGUGUCCAUGGCCAACAUCACUAAGCCAUCUUCGCUUUGACUUCUUACCCAAUUGCAUCAUUGUUGUCCUCAAGACAGUACUCUGGGCAACCAUUCUUAAUUGAUGAAGCAUGGUUCAUGAAAUAAGGUUGAUUUACCACCCCUGACAUAGGUAGAAGGGCUUUUUUUUCCCUGAACAUUCUAGGUUUUCCUCAUACUUAUAUGCUUUUAAGUCAUGGCCUUUUUUACCCAGAAUUCCUUUGUCUCUUACCUAAGCCCCAUUCAUCAUUCAAGAUUUAAUGUAGCCCAUCAAAUUUCUACAGAGUAGCCAUAGCAUUAUAAAAAUCACAAAUAGUUGUGAUUUGAGAUCCUAUUAUCAAGUAGUUUUUCCUGGUGACACAAGCUCAGUUGACCUUUCCUUUUCCUGAUCUCAUAUAGCAUAUAUUAUCUGAAUAUAAUCACAUCAACCAUAUAUUUUAGCUUAUGAUUAAUGAUGUUUUGCAUGUCUGGAUUCUACAACUAGGAUCUUGAGAGUAGGAGCCAUGUGGUUUUGUAGAGUAGGCAGAUCUGAGUUCAAAUUCUGGCUUUGGGAAUUCCCGUCGUGACUCAGUGGUUAACAAAUCCGACGAAGAACCAUGAGGUUGCGGGUUCGAUCCCUGGUCUUGCUCAGUGGGUGAAGGAUCCAGCGUUGCUGUGAGCUGUGGUGUAGGUUGCAGAUGCAGCUCAGAUCCCACAUUGCUGUGGCUCUGGCAUAGGCCGGCAGCUACAGCUCCGAUUGGACCCCUAACCUGGGAACCUCCAUAUGCUGUAGGAGUGGCCCUAGCAAAGGCAAAAAGACAAAAAAAAAAAAAAAAAAAUUCUGGCUUUGCACUGCCUAGCAAAAUGAACUUAACCUCGAAUGUCACAUUCCUUAAAUGAAAAAUAGACAGGAUAAUAAAACCUACCUCCUGAAAUUUGUUGUAAGUGUUCAAUGCAUGUAAAUUCUUUAGCCUAGUUUCUGAGAAAUAAUGAGGAGAAAAUAUAAUGUAACUUUAUCUUCUGUGUAAAUCACAAUGAGAUGCAGAGAGCCUUGGAACAAAAGUCCCAAUUUCCAACCCAGCUUUGCCCAUUGAUUAGCUUGGAGUAGUCACUUCAGAAUCUUAUCUUGCUCAUCUACAAAAUGACCUUUGUGGCCCAUUCUUUUGUCUGCUCCCACUUUUGUUUGUGAUAUAAUAGGGAUACUGUAGGUGAAAGCAAAGGUGAUAUCCAAAAUAUUUAUUAAUCUGUAUAGUAUGGAGAUGGACCAGCUGGAACAGCUGUUGGACAGAUGCUGGCUAUAAUAAGUAAGAUGGCCACUCUGAGUAUCCACCCUUGGUGAAGACUUUCUGGAAGCACUACCCAAAUGUGAAGAAUUUCUAUUGUCAUUAAUCCCUGGGUAAAGUGAAGGAAAUAGUUUCCACAAAUCAUGGAUAGCUCAUAAUAUUUUGGGAACC
rnacentral:lncRNA from 1 species